GGGGCUGUAACGGUUUCGACGGGGUGGCGAACAUGGGUUCAUGAGGCAGGUCGGGAUUGAGCUUAUCCCGUUACCACCAGGCUCAAAACAGUACGUGCGAACAACGUCGUACCCUUUGCUCGUAAAGCAGCUGCUUUGGCUGCCUAAGGCUCAGUAACCGAAAACUUACUCUGAGCUCGAGGAUCUGCUCACGACCCCGUUAAGUGGGCGGAUCACAACCCCAACGGGUGCAGCUCUCUACUCCGGCUCCGUCGAGGGAGAGCCUAAGAUUAGGCGGAGAACUCCCAUCGCUGGGAUCCAAACGGCGAUCCCCGCCUCGAGGGUCAAAGAGGCUAAACCUGUGAAUGAGUGAUCCCUCAGUACCCAUCUCGGACACGGGUUCGACUCCCGUCAGCUCCAUCU
rfam:Synechococcus sp. JA-2-3B'a(2-13), complete genome.